ensembl:lncRNA
CAAUAGCCGAGGUGUCUAAGAAUUAACAGCAAUAAUGUACUUUACAGUUGUAUUUUUCAUAGGAAACAAAGUUACAGUAACAAAGCAAAUAUCAUUUAUUUAUUCAUUCUUUCCCGUAUGAGAUCACAAGAAUCGACAAAGCUAUUGUUUUUUUCAUAUAGCAGAAAACACGCCUCAUACAUGGAGAUAAAAGCAAAAAUUGAUAGAUAUGCAUACCAUGUUUUUUUUCCUCAGUACUAAUUACUAAGCCAGUUUAUAUUAUUCAGAGCAAAGCAUGACAUUUCUGCUGUUUUUUAAGUGACUUUAUAGUUUUCAUUCUACACUUGUUAAAAAGUUGUACACUUGUGCUUUCUGAAACUAAUAUAUAGUACAUGUAUGUCAGAGAGAGAUAUUUUUCCAGUAUUCCUUUAAAAUUUAAGGAUAUUUGUCUAUUUUUUAUCUUUCUCGACACACUACUUAAUGAGAGGCUGUAUGUCGAUAUAGUGCUAACAUUUUUAACAGAUUCUAAAAUACAUAUUUCUCAUGUUUGUUUAGAGAAUAGACAAAUUAUGUGUAAUGUUUUUAUUUGAGACUUAACUGGGUAACUAAAUAAUAUACCCGGUAAGAAUACACCUGUGAGACGCCACAUUAUAGGUCGCUACAAGAAUACAAAAAUAAAACAUAACAAAAUUCAAAUUAUUUUACAGCCGUCAUUUUUUUGUUGCCAUGCCCAUUUAUAUUUAGUGGACUUUUACAUCCCUUGGGUUUCAUUGUUUUACACACUCCAAGAUGAUAUAUAUAUAUAGUAACCAUCAGUCAAGUGUUCCUGGGUAAUCUCAAGAUGAUGUCAGACUUCACCCUGCUCUCCCAUACAGACCUGCGUCCUGUCCUUUUGCUUCUUCUGCCUCAGUCCCACAGCCUCCAACAUACGAGCACGUACACUGAGUUGGCCGCAGCAAACACUCCUCUCAACUUGGAAGGAUUUGUGAGCGCAUGUCAUCCUCACGCAGUUACACAGAUCUGCCAUAGUGUAAAUCCUUUCUUUCAUUGCACGUCCCAUUUGAUGAGAGCUGAGUCAACAUGAAACCAUCCUGGGAUACCUUUCUAGGAGCACUAUUCAUUGUUUUUUUCAUAUAUUUAUUACUUAGAUGCUGAUAGUGAUUUUUGUGUGGUCAUGUCCUGAUUUUUUUUCUUUUUUAGAGAACACUCCCAAACCAUAAACACAUCUGCAUGUGUACUAUUUCUGUUAAAUUGGCAUUAACUGAAGUGGGUCCGCUGAGUAUAUUUUUGUAUUAUUUCUCUGUAAAUCCAGUCCUACCAAAGUGCUCAAAAGAUACACUGACAUGUUUAAUACUGCAGCAAUUUGCAUGAAUGUAUGUAUUAUAUCAAAUUAACCUCUGAUUUUCUUUGCAAACUGAAAAGCGCUUGAUGCUAUAUUUUGCCUUAAAAAUACUUCUGUUUUGUAUGUUUUACCUCUUCAAAUCUUUUACAUGUGUUUUCAUCACGUUUUGGAUAGCUCAUGAAUUUGUUUUGCAUGUUUUACCAACUUUAGCAAGGAUUGUUUGGGAUGAUAAUGAAAAAUAAAGACAACUGCAGAUGUAGCUGUGCUUAAUUCUCGAACCAACGGGUUUGUUAUGCUUAUGGGUUGCACUUUGAAUGGUGUGGGGAGUGGAUUAUGUUGUAAGUUCUGACUAUUAACACUACGUUGUAAAUAAAUAUGCUCUGAAGAGGCCCUCGUGUCAUUCAUACAUCAUCAUCAAUGCAUACUCUGAAUUUCAGAGUAAAAUAUGCUUUUUUAGUGCUGCUCUCUUAAAUAACAUAUAAGAGCCCUAAUGAUCACUAGAAAACCAAAGUAAGACACUUGUCAUAAUGCGUAUUUCCAAAACCUAAAUGACAACGUUAGAGCACAGUAGUUGUAGCAUAGCUAACAUUAGGGUUUCCACGACUGUUUUGGGGAAAAAAAACAUUUCUGUUUGAAGUACCUCACAGCAAAUGUGAUCCGCAUCAGCAAAAGUAUGGUAAUAUGAACUAAUUUAUUGUUGUUCAGGCUAUUUAGUCAACAGUGUGAAUCCAGCUUUGUUAUAGGAUACUUAUGCAAAGAGAAGUUACAGGUGACCUUCUUUCACAUACUGAAUUUAGAAGGACACUAUCUUUUACCUUAUGUUUGCCUUCUUUACUACGCUGCAUCAGUCUAAACAGUCCUUCGGGGGAAAGCAGUAGUUGACCACAUGAGGGCAAUGUCACACCAACCAACACUUCUCUAAGGAGGCCGUGAAUCAGGUCUGAGCUUAGUCCAACACCUGCUAUCCAAGUGAUCAUAUUUUGAACCCAGUUAAAUUUAAGUGUGUCUCGCUUUAUAAUAAGCACAUUAUUCUGAUAAUAAUUUGAAAUCACCUCUCCAUUGGACAUUGCUGGAAUGCACGUGGAUUUACAGCCAAUGUAAAUUAAGAUCAGAAGCAGAAACGCUUUUUGCUCUAUGUGCCGACAUUAGCCGCUGGGUUCGAUGGCGGAGCCUCCCAACACAAGAAAUGGACCAUUCACCUCCCAGAAUUCUUCGACCAGCUCCCUUGACUACUCUGAUCUGACCCUGUCCCUCCCAGCGCUGCCUGCGUCGGGGGUUGGAGACGGGGAG